rnacentral:rRNA from 1 species
GACGAACGCUGGCGGCGUGCUUAACACAUGCAAGUCGAGCGGUAAGGCCCUUUCGGGGGUACACGAGCGGCGAACGGGUGAGUAACACGUGGGUGACCUGCCCUCAGCUCUGGGAUAAGCCUGGGAAACCGGGUCUAAUACUGGAUAUGACUCCAUGACGCAUGUUGUGGGGUGGAAAGCCUUGUGCGGCUGAGGAUGGGCCCGCGGCCUAUCAGCUUGUUGGUGGGGNGAUGGCCUACCAAGGCGACGACGGGUAGCCGGCCUGAGAGGGCGACCGGCCACACUGGGACUGAGACACGGCCCAGACUCUACGGGAGGCAGCAGUGGGGAAUCUUGCGCAAUGGGCGAAAGCCUGACGCAGCGACGCCGCGUGAGGGAUGACGGCCUGUGU